rnacentral:rRNA from 1 species
AUGUACUCAGUUUUAGUUCUACUAAGCCUAAAACCUUUUGAUUCCAAGGUUUGUCUCCAUAACUCUAACUUCCUAUUGACACCGGUCCGACUAUCGUCUACUAGCACCACAUCAUCUGCAAAGAGCAUACACCAUGGGAUAUCUCCUUGUAUAUCCCUUGUGACCUCAUCCAUCACCAAGGCGAAAAGGGUCCAUUUGGUUUUCGGGAUGAAGAGGGAUGUGUUUCGAUCAUCCAAGUUUUUGACUCUCAUACACCCGUUUGGUUAUGAGUACUGGGUGGAUGAUGAACCUGCCAGGCUGAGGGAAUAUUACCUCCAACCAAAAUGUCCUGUCUGA